UACGGAGGGGGCUAGCGUUGUUCGGAAUUACUGGGCGUAAAGCGCGCGUAGGCGGACCAUCAAGUUGGGGGUGAAAUCCCGGGGCUCAACCCCGGAACUGCCUUCAAAACUGUUGGUCUGGAGGUCGAGAGAGGUGAGUGGAAUUCCGAGUGUAGAGGUGAAAUUCGUAGAUAUUCGGAGGAACACCAGUGGCGAAGGCGGCUCACUGGCUCGAUACUGACGCUGAACGGCGAAAGCGAGGGGAGCAAACGGG
rnacentral:rRNA from 1 species